CCGGGUUUGGAUUACAAUUCGAGACGGAUCAACUUCUAGAAAAUGGGCAAAGUUGUCAUUGACUACAUCAUAAAAGAGAAAACUGUACUUCUGCAGAAAAAAGACAAUGAAGGCUUCGGUUUUGUACUCCGAGGGGCCAAAGCCCAGACUCCUGUGGAGGAGUUCAGCCCGACUCCAGCCUUCCCUGCUCUGCAGUA